rnacentral:tRNA from 1 species
AGCCUUGUAGUGAAGACACGUUAGAUUGCAAAUCUGAAGACGCAGGCUAACACCUGCCGGGGCUU